GGCAGUUCUGGACUCAGCCUAGGCUGUGUUUACCCUCGGCUGUGAGAACGGAACCAGAUAUUUGAUUCCAGGUUCAUGUCAGUUUCCUGCGACUGUGAAAAACACCUGUGAUGAAUCAACUUCAAGGAGGAAAGGUUUAUUCUGGCUUAUACUCGGCCCAUCAGUGUGGACCUUCGGUGAGGGGGAAGAACUUCAUGGUUACCCCGGACCUCAGGCGCCCCCUGGGAGAUGGAGGAAGAGAGAAAGGCAAGUCAGCCAUGGGAGCUUAUCAUGGGCCAGGCCUGGACGUCCUCCUCACCCGCUUCACUCUCACAUCACUGGCCAGAACCCAGUCACGUGGGGACAGCUAACUGCCGGGAAGGCUGGGUGAUGCAGUCCAGCUGUGAGCUGGGGAAGCAGAGGGAACAGGUUCUGGUGAACACAAAGUGGUCUUUAGCACCAGAGAAAGUCUUAGCUACAGCUAGAAUGUGAUCCAUUUGGAGGGACGCUACAAGGUGAGGGCUAAUCUGUGAAUGUCAUAUUCAGAGCCCAGGACAAAUGCAAACUUGAUUGCUUAUAGUGUUGCAGAGAAUCGCUCACCUAACCCCAAUGUGGUGGAAAUGCACGAGAGUUGAAGGUUAUAAGUGAUACCAUCAGGAGCCCGAGGACACACAUCUUCUGGACAAUAGGUGCCUCACUGGUCCAAGGAGAGCUGGACAGCAAGUUUGCAUACAGCACGGAAGAGCACAGGAGGACAGCUCAGGAUCAGAAGACCCCUCACACGACUACCAUGUCUCACCAAGACAGACUUUACUAUCAGUCAGAUAUUAUCUGUCUCCUCAGGACACAGCAACGGCCCUCUCGGGAAGAGCUUGGGAGAGAGAAAGGCUGCCUUUGAUCCUCUUUCCAUCCACUGUGUGGGAAGAUUUGAACAACCUCUGUGGUAUUUGACAGGGCCCAGGGUUUUUGUGAGUGAAUGGCACACAUGACUCACUUAGGGGAAUACCGAAAGGAAGCAGAAAUUAAAUUCAGUGUGGUGGGGGUCACUGGCUAGAGGUGAGUGUGCAGAGAGGAGUGGUCCAUGGGGCCUCCAGGGAAGGGGACACUAGGUUGCACAGUGACUGCAUUAGCUAGGGGAGGUGUGCUUUCAGAAGAGGAGGCGGACAGCCCAGGAGCACAGCACAGACCAAGGCUUGACACACUGAGGAGACACCAGGAGCCUAACCCACAAGUGAGGAGCUGCAGAACUAGUCAGGGGGCCUAAGGGGCCUCCUGUCUCACACUCAGGGACCUGGCUAUAGGUGACAGGGGUCACUGAAUGGAUUACUUUUCAAGAGUAACACAGUGAGUAUGGAGUAAACCAUUUUUCCUGUUAGAACAGCUCCACAACUCUCUUCCAGGAAAGCUUUUUUUUUUAACUUUUUAAAAUCUAAAACUAAUACAUGGGCAUUAUAGAAAACUUGGAAAGUGUACAAAGGCAUAGUCAAUAAGAAAAAACUAGGCAUAAACUCUAUGCAGAGGUCAUUACUAAGAACAUGUUGAAACACAUUCUUUCAGUCUUUUGCAUAUCCAUAUUUUAAAAUACGUGAGAUGUUGAGGCACAUAUUAUUUUAAAACAGCUU